rnacentral:rRNA from 1 species
UUGGCAGAGACAAGGCCAAAACAUACCCCCUGGCCCGCCAGAUUAUUACAAGUAAAAACUUAAAACUCAAAGGACUUGACGGUGUCCCACACACAACCUAGAGGAGCCUGUCCUAUAAUCGAUGAUCCACGAAGGACCUUACCACCUUUCGCCCAACAACCUAUAUACCGCCGUCGAAAGUUCACCUUAUGAAAGAAAAAAAGUGAACACAAUAGCUCAACACUAAAACGUCAGGUCAAGGUGUAGUUAAUGGGGUGGCUAGAGAUGGGCUACAUUUCCUAUUAAAGGAAAAACGAACGGUAAGAUGAAAACUAACCAGAAGGAGGAUUUAGUAGUAAAACAGGAUCAGAAAGCCUGCUUGAACACACUGCCCUGGGACG